rnacentral:rRNA from 1 species
UACAGAGGGUGCGAGCGUUAAUCGGAAUUACUGGGCGUAAAGCGUGCGUAGACGGUUAUUUAAGUCGGGUGUGAAAGCCCCGGGCUCAACCUGGGAAUUGCAUUCGAGACUGAAUAGCUAGGGUACGGUAGAGGGAAGUGGAAUUUCCGGUGUAGCGGUGAAAUGCGUAGAUAUCGGAAGGAACACCAGUGGCGAAAGCGGCUUCCUGGUCCAGCACCGACGUUCGGAGC